CCAGUAUUCUAAGGCGCUUGAGAGAACUCAGGAGAAGGAACUCGGCAAAUUGACACCGUAACUUCGGAAGAAGGUGUGCCUUUAGUAGGUGAAGUCCCUCGCGGAUGGAGCCCAAUGAGGUUGCAAUAAAUCGGUGGCUGCGACUGUUUAUUAAAAACACAGCACUCUGCAAACACGAAAGUGGACGUAUAGGGUGUGACGCCUGCCCGGUGCUGGAAGAUUAAAUGAUGGGGUGCAAGCUCUUGAUUGAAGUCCCAGUAAACGGCGGCCGUAACAAUAACGGUCCUAAGGUAGCGAAAUUCCUUGUCGGGUAAGUUCCGACCUGCACGAAUGGCGUAACGAUGGCCACACUGUCUCCUCCUGAGACUCAGCGAAGUUGAAAUGUUUGUGAUGAUGCAAUCUCCCCGCGGAAAGACGGAAAGACCCCAUGAACCUUUACUGUAGCUUUGUAUUGGACUUUGAACAGAUCUGUGUAGGAUAGGUGGGAGGCUUUGAAGCAGGGUCGCUAGAUCUUGUGGAGCCAACGUUGAAAUACCACCCUGGUGUGUUUGAGGUUCUAACCUAGGCCCGUAAUCCGGGUUGGGGACAGUGCAUGGUAGGCAGUUUGACUGGGGCGGUCUCCUCCCAAAGUGUAACGGAGGAGUUCGAAGGUACGCUAGUUACGGUCGGACAUCGUGACGAUAGUGCAAUGGCAUAAGCGUGCUUAACUGCGAGACUGACAAGUCGAGCAGAUGCGAAAGCAGGACAUAGUGAUCCGGUGGUUCUGUAUGGAAGGGCCAUCGCUCAACGGAUAAAAGGUACUCUGGGGAUAACAGGCUGAUACCGCCCAAGAGUUCAUAUCGACGGCGGUGUUUGGCACCUCGAUGUCGGCUCAUCUCAUCCCGGGGCUGUAGCCGGUCCCAAGGGUAUGGCUGUUCGCCAUUUAAAGAGGUACGUGAGCUGGGUUUAAAACGUCGUGAGACAGUUUGGUCCCUAUCUUCCGUGGGCGCUGCAGAUUUGAGGAAGCCUGCUCCUAGUACGAGAGGACCGGAGUGGACGCACCUCUGGUGUAUCGGUUGUCACGCCAGUGGCAUUGCCGAGUAGCUAUGUGCGGAAGAGAUAACCGCUGAAAGCAUCUAAGCGGGAAACUCGUUUCAAGAUGAGAUCUGCCGGGGCCUUGAGCCCCCUGAAGAGUCGUUCAAGACCAGGACGUUGAUAGGUCGGGUGUGGAAGCGCAGUAAUGCGUUAAGCUAACCGAUACUAAUUGCUCGUGCGGCUUGACCCC
rnacentral:rRNA from 1 species